GACGAACGCUGGCGGCGUGCUUAACACAUGCAAGUCGAACGAUGAAGAAGAGAAACGCGAACUUCGGUUCAAAUUUCACUUCGGAUUAGUGGCAGACGGGUGAGUAACGCGUGAGCAACCUACCUCUUACAAAGGGAUAGCCUCGGGAAACCGUGAUUAAGACCAUAUGACACAUUCAUAAGGCAUCUGAAGAAUGUUAAAGCUACGGCGGUAAGAGAUGGGCUCGCGUCCCAUUAGCUAGUGGGUGAGGUAACGGCCAGCCAAGGCGACGAGGGGGGCCCGGGCGGGGAGGGUGAACGGUCGCAUUGGAACUAAGACCCAGUCCACACUCCGACGGAGAGGAGGAGAGGGGAAUAUUGCGCGAGGGAGGGAAAUCUGAUGCAGCGGCGCCGGGGGAGCGAUGAAGGAAUUCGUAUCGUAAUGCUCUGUGCUAUGAGGAGUAAAUGACGGUACCGGAGAAGAAAGCACCGGCUAAAUACGUG
rnacentral:rRNA from 1 species